AUGUGCAAGGCCGGCUUCAGGGUGGUCUUCCCCUCCACCGUGGGGCGCCGCAGGCACCAAGGUGUGAUGGUGGGCAUGAGUCAAAAGGACUCCUAUGUGGGUGACAAGGCCUAGAUAGGCAUCCUGACCCUGAAGUACCCUAUCCAGCACGGCAUUGUCACCAACUGGGACAACAUGGAGAAGAUCUGGCACCACACCUACAACAAGCUUCGUGUGGCUCCUGAGGAGCACCCAGUGCUGCUGACUGAGGGCCCCCUGAACUCCAUGAGAAGAUGACCCAGAUCAUGUUUGAGACCUUUAACACCCCAGCCAUGUACGUGGCCAUCCAGGCUGUGCUGCCCCUGUACACCUCUGGCUGUACCACUGGCAUCAUGAUGGACUCCGGUGAUGGGGUCACCCACACUGUGCCCAUCUACGAGGGCUAUGCCCUCUCUCACACCAUCCUGCAUCUGGACCUGGCUGGCUGGGACCUGACUAGACUACUUAUGAAGAUCCUCACUGAGCGUCACCACCACUACCGAAUGGGAAAUCAUGCAUGACAUCAAGGAGAAGCUGUGCUAUGUCACCCUGGACUUCGAGCAGGAGAUGGUGAUGGCGGCCUCCAGCUCCUCCCUGGAGAAGAGCUAGGAGCUGCCCGAUGGCCAGGUCAUCGCCACUGGCAACGAACAGUUCCGCUGCCCCAGGCGCCCUUCCAGCCUUCCUUCCUGGGAGUGAAAUCCUGUGGCAUCCAGGAAACUACCUUCAACUCCAUCAUGAAGUGUGAUGUGGACAUCUACAAAGAUCUGUACGCCAACACAGUGCUCUCUGGCAGCACCAUCAUGUACCCUGGCAUCGCCGACAGGAUGUAGAAGGAGACUCCCGCCCUGGCACCCAGCACAAUGAAGAUCAAGAUCAUUGCUUCUCCUGAGAGCAAGUACUCUGUGCGGAUUGGCGGCUUCUCCAGCAGACGUGUAUCAGCAAGCGGGAGUACGAUGAGUCCGGCCCCUCUAUCAUCCACCGCAAAUGCUUCUAGGCAGACUGUGAUUUAGUUGCAUUAUACCCUUUCUUGACAAAACCUAACUUGUGCAGAAAACAAGAUGAGAUUGGCAUGGCUUUAUUUGUUUUGGUUUGGGGUUUUCUUGUUUGUUUGUUUUUUGGCUUGACUCAGGAUUUAAAAACUGAACGGUGAAGGUGAUAGCAGUCCCCCAAAGUUCUACAAUGUGGCUGAGGACUUUGAUUGUACAUUGUACUUUUUUUAAUAGUCAUUCCAAAUAUUGUGAAAUGCAUUGUUACAGGAAGUCCCUUGCCCUCCUAAAAUCCACCCACUUCUGUCUAAGGAGAACGGUCUAGUCUUC